rnacentral:rRNA from 1 species
CCUACGGGAGGCAGCAGUGGGGAAUCUUGCGCAAUGGGCGGAAGCCUGACGCAGCAACGCCGCGUGCGGGAAGAAGGCCUUAGGGUCGUAAACCGCUUUCAGGGGGGACGAAGCUUCCGGGGUUAAUAGCCUACGGGGUGACGGUACUCCCAAAAGAAGGUCCGGCUAACUACGUGCCAGCAGCCGCGGUAAUACGUAGGGACCGAGCGUUGUCCGGAAUCAUUGGGCGUAAAGAGCGUGUAGGCGGCCUAGUAGGUCUCGUGUGAAAUCCCGUGGCUCAACCACGGACACGCACGGGAAACCCCUAGGCUCGAGUCCGGAAGAGGGGAGCGGAAUUCCUGGUGUAGCGGUGAAAUGCGCAGAUAUCAGGAAGAACACCCGUAGCGAAGGCGGCUCUCUGGGACGGUACUGACGCUGAGACGCGAAAGCGUGGGGAGCAAACAGGAUUAGAUACCCUGGUAGUCCACGCCGUAAACGAUGGAUGCUAGGUGUGGGAGGUGUCGACUCCUCCCGUGCCGAAGCUAACGCAUUAAGCAUCCCGCCUGGGGAGUACGGCCGCAAGGCUAAAACUCAAAGGAAUUGACGGCNGAGACGNGCGACGACGACGACGAGGAGAGG